rnacentral:lncRNA from 1 species
UGCUUCAAAAUCUUACUUCUAUUCUUUCAUAUAGUUCCGUUCGGCAUACUCAGUUUUCGAUCGUGCCUACUCCUUUCUAAACUUUGUAUUAAUGUGUAUUUCAUACUGAACUAAGCAAAUAUCCAAAAAUACUACAUGAACUUUACACGUCGUACCUUUUCAUUCCCGAACUUUAUAGUAGUGCAUAUUCCAUAUCGAACUAAACAAAAAUUCAAAAAUACUACUUGAACUCUCAAAAUCGUGCUUAUAUAUAUUGACCGUCAAAGGGACUACUCAUCCGUUAAUUUAUCAAAACAACAUCAUUUCAGAUAAAUUCUAUAAAAUAAAAAAAAAUCAAAAAUUCUACAUAAACUCUAAAAAUCAUGCUUAUAUAUUUUAAUCGUCAAAG